rnacentral:rRNA from 1 species
AGGGAAUCUUCGGCAAUGGGGGCAACCCUGACCGAGCAACGCCGCGUGAGUGAAGAAGGUUUUCGGAUCGUAAAGCUCUGUUGUAAGUCAAGAACGGGUGUGAGAGUGGAAAGUUCACACUGUGACGGUAGCUUACCAGAAAGGGACGGCUAACUACGUGCCAGCAGCCGCGGUAAUACGUAGGUCCCGAGCGUUGUCCGGAUUUAUUGGGCGUAAAGCGAGCGCAGGCGGUUUGAUAAGUCUGAAGUUAAAGGCUGUGGCUCAACCAUAGUUCGCUUUGGAAACUGUCAAACUUGAGUGCAGAAGGGGAGAGUGGAAUUCCAUGUGUAGCGGUGAAAUGCGUAGAUAUAUGGAGGAACACCGGUGGCGAAAGCGGCUCUCUGGUCUGUAACUGACGCUGAGGCUCGAAAGCGUGGGGAGCGAAC